UACGGAGGGGGCUAGCGUUGUUCGGAAUUACUGGGCGUAAAGGGCGCGUAGGCGGUGCGAUCAGUCAGGCGUGAAAGGCCCGGGCUCAACCCGGGGACUGCGCUUGAUACUGUUGCGCUGUGAGUCCGGGAGAGGAUGGCGGAAUUCCCAGUGUAGAGGUGAAAUUCGUAGAUAUUGGGAAGAACACCGGUGGCGAAGGCGGCCAUCUGGACUGGCACUGACGCUGAGGCGCGAAAGCGUGGGGAGCAAUCAGG
rnacentral:rRNA from 1 species